CUGGGAGGAGGAACGGGUAGCUACUGGGCAUGCACGUACUUCCCAAUUUGGCCAAAGUUCAGGUAGAUACCCCAUACGGGUAUGCUGCUUUUCCAGAACUUGUGCAGGUGACAGAGAAUUUUUCCUAAGUACAAUGUGGUGGAGGCAAAGGUAGCUCCCGGGCAUGUAGCAACCUCCAAAUUAGCCAAAAUUCUCUGUUACCUAGCCUAGAGGGAUCCGAGUUUAGGAUCCACAAAGAAAAAACCUCUCUUGGAGGAAGCCAAAUCUUUUUUCUAGAAGCAUGCCGAGGUGAGAAGGCAAGGGUAGCUACCAGGCAUACACUUCCGUCUAAACUUGUCCAAAGUUGUGGUGUCCCUGCCCUGAAGGGCUUUGCAGCUGGUCCCCAGAGCUAAAUGUGUCUCAGGCAGAAUCCCCAACAUUUGCAGAAGCUUCCCUGGAGGAGGCAAUGGUAGCUAGCAGGCAUGCAGCUCCCUCCAAAGUAGAGCCAAAAUUGUGAGGGACUUAAGGCGGAGGGGUCUUCCGGUGGUAUUGACAAGCAGUUCUGUAUUGGGAGCUAGGUUGAAAGUUUUUCAAAUCCUGAUCAGCGAAGGGAAGUGAAGGUACCCAGGCAGGAACCUCCCUCCAAAAUUGGCCAAAGUU